AGUUUCAUCCCUAGAAUCCUAUUAUAAUGCAAUGGAAAGCAGGUUUUCUCUAUUCCUAGCGUUAAAGUCAACUAAAGCAGAAGAUCGAUCUGAAGCAACAGGAUUAGAUGAAGCCCCGCAGGCAGGAUCAGAUUCUAAAGAUAGGGAAGCAGUUAGGUAACAUCAAUCUCUACCUAGUGCUCAAUAAGAUAGAUAGGAAAUUCCUGUUUGACUGGGAACGAACAACAAUACUUAGUGUGUCAGCGGCGUAUGCGAG
rnacentral:lncRNA from 1 species